rnacentral:rRNA from 1 species
CCCGCCUGCCCUGUGACAAUGUUUUAACGGCCGCGGUAUUUUGACCGUGCAAAGGUAGCGUAAUCAUUUGUCUUUUAAAUGAAGACCCGUAUGAAAGGCAUCACGAGAGUUUAACUGUCUCUAUUUUCUAAUCAAUGAAAUUGAUCUACUCGUGCAGAAGCGAGUAUAAUUACAUUAGACGAGAAGACCCUAUGGAGCUUCAAACACAUAAAUUAAUUAUGUAAACAUAAAUUACUCCACGGAUAUAAAUAAAAAAUAUAAUAUAUUUAAUUUAACUGUUUUUGGUUGGGGUGACCAAGGGGAAAAAUAAAUCCCCCUUAUCGACUGAGUACUCAAUACUUAAAAAUUAGAACUACAAUUCUAAUUAAUAAAAUAUUUAUCGAACAAUGACCCAGGAUUUAUCCUGAUCAAUGAACCAAGUUACCCUAGGGAUAACAGCGCAAUCCUUUCUCAGAGUCCCUAUCGCCGAAAGGGUUUACGACCUCGAUGUUGGAUCAGGACAUCCUAAUGAUGCAACCGUUAUUAAGGGUUCGUUUGUUCAACGAUUAAUAGUCCUACGUGAUUGA